rnacentral:lncRNA from 1 species
CUUUCUUCAAAAGUCCAGUCCAUUCUUACUCGAAUUAGACAAAACACCUGAGGGGCCAGCCCUGUGGUGCAGCGGUUAAGUGCACACGUUCCACUCUGGCGGCCCAGGGUUCGCCAGUUCAGAUCCUGGGUGCGGACAUGGCACUGCUUGGCAAGCCAUGCUGUGGUAGGCGUCCCACAUAUACAGUGGAGGAAGAUGGGCACAGAUGUUAGCUCAGGGCCAGUCUCCUCAGCAAAAAGAGGGGGAUUGGCAGCAGAUGUUAGCUCAGGGCUAAUCUUCCUCAAAAAGAAAAAGGAAAAAGAGAAAACACCUGAGAAGAAGUUCUAUGGGCACAAGUACUUUUUCCUGCCUCUGGAAAAAGUUUGCUGACCCCUGAGCUUCAGGAUGGGGGAAGUUUUAGAGAUUUUAGGAGAAAGAAAAAGUCUCUCCUUGCUAAGGUACAACAAAAAAGGAUAUUCAUAAACCAACGGAGGCAUUCACACAACACAACAGAUGUCUGAGAGAUCCACGCAGCCAUAUGUGUGAAGGUGGGGGACCCCUCCCCAGGAGGCAAAGGAAGAAGGUAAGCAGAUCUCCUCUCCCCAGGGACAGCAAUUUAGGGCACAGGACCUAGCAUGGGAGCCAACGAACAACUCUGAAAGGAGAAG